rnacentral:rRNA from 1 species
AGCUCCAAUAGCGUAUAUUAAAGUUGUUGCGGUUAAAAAGCUCGUAGUUGGAUCUCGGCGGGCAGGGGGUGGUUCGCUCUUCAGCGCUACUGCCCCGCUUUGCCCGUGUGGUUGGCGGAGGUUUCGGGGUGCUCUUCGUUGAGUGACUCGGAGCGCCGUCAGGUUUACUUUGAAAAAAUUAGAGUGCUCAAAGCAAGCUUAAUCGCUUGAAUAUUCGUGCAUGGAAUAAUAGAAUAGGAAGUCGUUUCUAUUUUGUUGGUUUUCGGAAAUCGACUUAAUGAUUAAUAGGGACAGUCGGGGGCAUUUGUAUUCAAACGACAGAGGUGAAAUUCUUGGACCGUUUGAAGACAAACUACUGCGAAAGCAUUUGCCAAGAAUGUUUUCA